rnacentral:rRNA from 1 species
CAGUAGCCGCGGGAAUACGUAGGGUGCGAGCGUUAAUCGGAAUUACUGGGCGUAAAGCGUGCGCAGGCGGUUCGUUAAGACAGAUGUGAAAUCCCCGGGCUUAACCUGGGAACUGCAUUUGUGACUGGCGAGCUAGAGUAUGGCAGAGGGGGGUAGAAUUCCACGUGUAGCAGUGAAAUGCGUAGAGAUGUGGAGGAAUACCGAUGGCGAAGGCAGCCCCCUGGGCCAAUACUGACGCUCAUGCACGAAAGCGUGGGGAGCAAACAGGAUUAGAUACCCCAGUAGUCCCUGUCUCUUAUAC